GGGAAAGUAGCAAAUCCAGAGAGAUGAAUCAAAUACAAAUCUAUAGUAAUGCAGCCAAACUUUGCGAAGCUUGUGCACUUGAAUACGAGAAGCAUGAUGAAACUGCCACGGCUGCUUUGGCCUAUAAGUGCAUGGAGGUUGCAUACAUGAGGGUGGUAAACUGCAAAAGUAUGAGUUCAAGUAGAAUUUGGCAUGAUCUGCAUGCAAAUUUGCAAGUUCCCCCUCAAGGUGAAUCUCCUUCAUCUUCCGCAUCUGAUGUUGAUAAUACGAACAAUCUAAC
rnacentral:misc_RNA from 1 species